GGCAAUGUAGGCUAUUUGACGUUCGUGGAGAUCCCGUACACGAUAAACGCUUCUGAUGUGAAGUGCUGUUUUCUUUUCGAACAUGGACCUUUGAUCCUGAACUUUGUCUGCAAAAAAAAACACACGUUUGCACAAUGUUGCACAAUGUUUCCCGUAUUAUCCCGCCCACUGAGCCCUCUUCUUGAAAAAACAUCUGGAAUUAAAAACAGCAUUCUAGUUGGUUCAUCGCUGCAAGAAGUCUAAAUAUCCUCUUUCCCACUACUUGUGCACCAACAAGAAAACAAAGGCUGACCAGCAGGUUCCACACUAAUUGGACAAUGAGAAACUGGACAUUACUAAGUCGGCUGCUGGAUGAAGUACAGUCUCAACCUAUGGUCAUAGGGAAGAUUUGCUCUCCGCUUUGUUCGUGUUGAGAAUUGUGGUGUUGGGGGCCGCAACAGAUAGGGUGUGGGUGGAAGAACAAUCAGAGUUUGUCUGCGACACUAAGAUGACAGGAUGUAGACCGAGUGGCGCAGCUGUCUAAGGCACUGCAUCUCAGUGCAAGAGGUGUCACUACAGUCCCUGUGUCACGUCCUGACCAGUAAAAGGGGUUAUUUGUUAUUGUAGUUUGGUCAGGGUGUGGCAGGGGGUGUUUGUUUUGGGGGUUUUGGGUUAUGUUCUAUGUUAGUCUAUUUCUAUGUUUAUUCUAGGUUGUCUAUGUCUAGGUUGGAAGUGUUUGGGAUUGGUCUCUAAUUGGAGGCAGCUGUAUCUCAUUGCCUCUGAUUAGAGACUAUAUUUAAGUAGGGGGUUUUUCUCAUUGUGUUUGUGGGUGGUUAUUUUCUGUUCAGUGUUUCGUGUACCUGACAGUACUGUUUGGCUGUCGUGUUUUUUCUUGUUUUGUUUAGUGUUCUAAAUAAAGUUAAUUAUGAGCACUCAACCCGCUGCGCCUUGGUCUACUCCCUUCGACGGCCGUUACACCCUGGUUUGAUUCCAGGCGGAAUCACAUCCGGCCGUGAUUGGGAGUCCCAUUGGCCCAGCUACGUCCAGGUUUGGCCGGGGUAGGCCGUCAUUGUAAAUAAGAAUUUGUUCAUUACUAACUUGCCUAGUUAAAUAAAGGUGAAGAAAAAAAACUGUCUGCUACAACCAAGCCUUUCCUAUCUCCCAUAUCUGCUUCUGGGUCCUUCAAAUCACCCGAGUGUCGACCCCUACUAGGGCUGCCGCGGUCAUGAAAUUUCAUCAGCCGGUGAUUGUCAAGCAAAUAACUGUCGGUCUCACAGUAAUUGACCGUUAAUGAACAUAAACACAUUUAGUAUCUCCUGGUUUCCACACAAGCCACACAUUUAGCAUCUCCUGGUUUCCACACAAGCCACACAUUUAGCAUCUCCUGGUUUCCACACAUAGCCUACAAGCCACUGAUGCUGACCUUUGGAACAUCUACAAAUUAAAAAGUCUAAAUCCAUGUAAUAUAUCCUACACAAUUAAUCCAUAAUUUAUUUUAGACAGGUCUAAAGAAUCAUGAUUUGAAGAAAAUGUAGUCUAUUUCAGAACAGAAUAGCAUACUCUGAGUUGUCCUUAUGUUAGAUUCUGAUCUGGCUAUGACAAAUGGCUGUGGGCUACACUAGUUAAUUUAGCAAACAAGAUUUGCUUAGAAUUCCUUGGCAUUAUUUUAUAGUAUGAAGAAUACAAUUGAACAAAGGUGAAAAAAAUAGAAAGGACAUUUCUCCAAAUUAACAAUUAG
rnacentral:lncRNA from 1 species